CCAAAGGCUCUUUUCAGAGCCACCCACCCAUUCAUAUUAAGAGUUG
rfam:Xenopus laevis strain J chromosome 5L, whole genome shotgun sequence.